UAUAAAUCAAUAAAACCGACAAAGUCGUAUAAUAAAACCUAAAAAAAUAUUUUUUUUUAGGGUACCUCCCCUACACGUAAAGUGGGGGUGAAAUUUUUAUUUCGCUUCAACCCUAGAGUGUGGGGUAUCGUUGGAAAGGUCUUUCAAAACUAAUAGGGGUUUUCGAGAAACAUUUUUUGAUAGAGUGAAUAUAUUCGAAGAUAAUCGCUCCGAAAGAAAAAAAAAAUGUGUCCCCCCCCCCUCUAACUUUUGAACCAUAGGUCCAAAAAAUAUGAAAAAAAUCGUGGAAGUAGAGCUUAAGAAAGACAUUAAAUGAAAACUAUAGCGGACAUGAUCAGUUUAGCUGUUUUUGAGUUAUCGCAAAAAGUUUUCCAUUCAUAGUAAAAAGACUCUUUAAUUAGGUACUGAUUAUGCAAAUUUACCUAUUUGUUUAACUUGGGUGAAAGGUACCGUUUCAUCCCUUGGUUAACAAUUUACUAUACUUUAAGCUCCAGUUUAGCUUAUUGUGACGGAAGAGUAACUACGGAACCCUACACUGAGCGUAGCCCGACAUGCUCUUGGCCGGUUUUUAUAGGUAAUGAUACGGAACCCUUCCUGUACGAGUCCGACUCGCACUUGGCGGUUGUUUUUUUAACUGCGUUAACUUCGGGGUAUGGCUAAUUAAGUAAUUACAUUUAAGGGAACUGAAUAGCAUUGUUAAUUCCUUUUUCGUAAAAAGUAAUUAAUAGAGUUGUUGUAUAUUUAAAACUGUGACAUGUCAAUGACAUUUCGAAUAUCGGUCCGAGAUAGUACAGUCACGUCUGAAAAUAUCGAUACGAAAAAAGUGGCAAAAAUAUGUAUACACUACCUUAAUUUAUGGGCAAUAAAGUCGUGUAUACAUACUUUUGGCACUUUUUUCGUGUCGUUAUUUUCAGACGUGUACUAUCACGUGACGGUAGUUGCGUUUAGUAGCAAAUAUAAACUCUAAAUACUAAUAGCUAUAAUAUCUCUAAAAUGGAGUUAAUUAGAACACCAGUUUUUUUUUGAGAAAGAUACUUUUUGUAUAUAUACCACGUCGGUGGCAAACAAGCAUACGGACCGCCUGAUGGUAAGCAGUCACCGUAGCCUAUGGACUAAUACUUAAUUUAAGCUCAGCAAUGCACCUUUGAAAUUAAUGGACUUAAAAAAACAAUUUGGUAUUCUUGACGACCGGUCCGGCCUAGUGGGUAGUGACCCUGCCUAUUGGGAGCCUGCACGACUGUCACGCAACCUAGUGUCCGCAAGUCUAGGGGAAAACGUCAAUUCACUACAUCUUAUAAAACUACUCCAAAACUAAAAACUACUGAACGGAUUUUCAUACGACUUUCAUCUAUCAAUAGAGUGAUUCUUGAGGAAUGCUUAACGUAUAUAACUUGUUAAGGUUUUGUGUAAAUUGUUUGAAAUAUAACGAUGUUGUCGGAAAAAAUCACGCUGGCUAGGAGAUUUAAUCGAAAACGCUGCCUUAUCCGUUUGAGCUAUAACAACACAAUGUAUGGUGGGGUUGUUUCUCAUUCAUAGGUCUACAAAAAAGUCCGCGAUGUUAAAUGUCUAUCUUUUAAGGAUAACUAACUAUAUCCAUUCUUAACUUCUAGAAAAAGAUCACGUAAUAUGUGGCAUUUGCAAAGCUAUUUACAUGGAUACAUUAUUAACAAUUAUCAAAAUAAAUACGUUAGUUAUAUUAACCAUUUCAUACAGAUUACAAUGGUCCCUUACACCAUACAAUUUAAAUGAAUAUUUUAGGAGUAAUCGUAAAUCAAAGUUUCAUUUCGAGCCAUAUAAUUGUACGAAAUGUUAAAGACGCUAUCCGCAGUUAAUUCAAAUUUUUACCACCUUAUGCGCUGGGAUCGCUUUACUUACCCCCACCAUGCACUUCGCACGGUCCCAAUAAGGUCCUGGGUUCGAAUCCCGGUACGGGCAUUUAUUUGUGAUGAUCAUUGAUCACAGAUAUUUGUUCCUGAGCCAUGGAUGUUUUCUAUUUAUUUAAGUAUUUGUAUAUUAUGUAUAUCGUUAUCUGGGUACAUAGGCUUGAAAUAACGCCCGUCAUUUUGUAAUAGUACAUUACGAUAUCGUACAACGUUUUACAGUACAUAUGGCCCUUUAAAUGUUUUCGCACUAGUGCGGUAAAGUAGCACCAUAUGUACUGUAAAUACAGUCUUUCCCUAGCCAUUGGACAAAGCCGAAAUGUACAUAUGCAUUAGGGUAUUUAUUUAGAACCAGUGUACAAAGUAUCAUAACAGCCGUUGUAGCGGUUUCGAAGAAAUUAACAAAUUACCAUAUUUUACGUUGGAGCAGCCUGUAUGUGUUAGUAGCUCCUAAGGUUAGUAUAUCCUAAAAGAAUAGUAUGGAACCUCCUUCGACCUUUUUGAAUUAUUUUUAUUUAUGACACUAAUAAGCUUCUGAUUUUUGAAAAAUGUCAUCAUUAUCAAAUAUUUCGAACAAAUUGUCAAAAACACUGCCAAAGAUUAACACAGUGUGUUUCUUUUUGUUGUCGAUUAUUGCAAAUAACUUUUGUUCGAAAAAUUUAUUUUUUAUCUUUUGUUCUAAUUAAAAAAAAAAAUAUUAACGCCAGAGCAUUCCUGAGAAGUAACCCUACGUGGGAUUUCAGGGUUUGUCACCCUGUAUAACUCUGUACCGUACAACAGAGACUUCUUUAAACCAUUAUCAACGUUUAAAUAUGCCCUAAAGUCAUCUAUAGACUGUGAACAAACAUUUUCGACUCAUAAAUGGGUCCUAAUUUAUGUUUGAAUAACGGGCGUUUUUACGAGCCUUGCUGAGUACCCACAACACAAGCAUUCUUGGCUUACCAUGGGACUAGUCAAUUUGUGAGAACGUCCCUAUAAUAUUUAUUUAUAUACUUGGGAGAAUCAACUUUUUAGCGUCACUCGUUGCCAUGGUUACGAUUAGUUGUCCAGGGGACAAAAGUUCAUUGAAAUACUGAUUUUAUGGUACUUAAAUGUAUCAAACUUGCGUUUUUGUGGUCGUUAUAACAAAUGUCCAUAAUGGGCCCCCUACUAAGCAUGAUAAUAGAACGGCAUACAACGUCUCUUCAAACAAACUGUGCCACUGUUGUCCCUUGGACAACGGGACAGGAUAACAAAACAAAAAAAGUUGAUUCACCCACUUCCUUAUAUCAGAUGAAAAUGAAUUGAAAUCAUUUAAUUCGGGCACAAAUCCCAUAUAGUAUUAGUACAUACAAAAAAUAUUAUUUAGCUAUCUAUACAUAUACACCGUGCUUUUAUUGAAUUCCGUUAACUUCGGGGUAUUGGUAAGUAAGUUUAAGGAAACUACAUGUCAUAGUUAAUUUUCAAAAAAAAAAAAAAAAAUUUUUUUUUUUAACAUUUUUUUGUUAUAAAAAUUAAUUACAUGUUGCAUAUAGCGUUGUUGUUGCACGGGCAAUACAUUUAACUCAACCAAACAAUUGAAAACUGUGACAUGUCAAUGUCAUUUCGAACAUCGAUCGUCCGACAUAGUACUUACGUUUGUGUACUAAACACUAAUCAAUAUGUGAACAGGCCCUAAGGUAAGUGUACACACUCGUAAGGGCUUUAUAAGAUAAAAAUAAAAUAUUGAUUAUCUCAGAAAUGGAGUUGAUUAGAAUACCGGUGUCUUUGAGAAAGUUACUUAAUUUAAGCUCAGGAAUGCACCCUUGAAAUUAACGGACAUAAAACAUAAUUAUCAUUAAGUUUACCCAUACUAUUUAUUCAGUCAUGUGUUAAUAGCAACUUCUUAAUUACAAGAUUUUAUUUACUUUCACUUGACCGUUGUCUGUUUGUAAUCAAAUCUUUCAAGUUAAAUUUGACCCACUUCCCGGUUUCCGAUGAAGCUGAAAAUUUGCAUACAUAUGUAAGUCGGGUGACAAUGCAAUAUUAUGGUACCAUCGAGCUGAUCUGAUGAUGGAGACAGGAGGUAGCCGUAGGAACUCUGUGAUAAAACAACGCAACCUUGUGUUGGGGUUUUUAGAAUUGACUCGACGAGUAUUAGUUGCCUGUGGAAAAAAAAGUACAGUCAGCGAUAAAAGCCUUUACCAAAAAUGAAAUUUUUGCCAAACACUUAUUUUUGAUUUAGCCUUUUGAACGCCACGCGUAUCGCACGCGGCGCGUAAUCGUGAACCUUGUCGGUACGAAUGAAGAUUGAUAUUGGGCUGUAGCCGCGCGCGUCAUAUGACGUCUUUGGCGGUCAAAAGGUUAAAGAUGUUUUUACUAGCACAUUCGUCUUCUAUUCAUAAAUUGGGAAUUUGACAUAUGUUGAAUAUUAUAACAAAAUUUAGUUAAAUGGGUAGAAAAUGGGCCAUUCAUUAUACAAAAGUGGAAAUUAAAAAGACAGACAAGGCUCCAAAGGCUCAAAAAAAUUUUUAACUUUCAAAUAUAAAAAAAAGGAAUUUAUACCAUUCAAUCCCUAAAUGUUAAUGAAAAAUAAAUUGUACUACAACUAUCAUAAACGCAACAUUUCACGAUCAAAAUAGCAAUUUAGUUGAUCUUCCAUACAUGAUCCAUUUAGGAAAGACAAUUGUAUUGUGACGUCACAUUACAUUAUCAUUUUGUUAGAGGCGUUUCAAUCGUCGAGUGCGAGCGUCGGACUUUAACUCUCAUUUCUGACCUUUGUGUUGCUUAAAUGCCAUGAGUCCUAUAUAGACAUUUGAUCCUCAGGAAAAUCAAGAUCGAUUGACAUUAUUUACAAAAAACUGCCAAGUAGCCGAUUUUUAAAUAUUCGCGGUGUGGUAUAGCUGCGCGUAGUUCACCGUAGUAGUAUGUAUUUACGUAGUUGUUACUAUUAAAAGUGUGUUAAGUAAAUUUUGAACACCGCGACCGUUUAGCAAAUUUUGCUGCCAAGUCUUUCAAAUGGAUUUUUUUAUUUCGUGUUAAAAUUGAAUCAAUUUGCUAAUAUUAAAUAUACAUUGAUUGUACUCGUAAACGCGAUACAGCGACAUCUAUCCGAGCUGUUCAACUCGACACGAUCAUAGCUUAGACAGUUAACACAUUCACUGCCGGGAACCCACCUGGUGGGCGCUCGUGAACUUUGUUCAGAUGCCGGACAACCCGCCGCGGGUUGUACGCAGUUGUACGCAGCUAUAGACCACCGGUUUCUGGGGUAGCGUUGUCUGGCAGUGAAUGUGUUAAUGAAUCUUUGCUGAUAUAUUGAUUUAUUGUAAAGGUCUGUCCAGUCUGUUUUUGAUAAUCAUGUGUUUUUAUUGAAAUUUCAUGAUGCUUGGCAUAUUUUUGGGGCUAAAUAUUUAAGUAAUUUUGAAAGGCUUGUACAGUCAGCAGCAAAAAUAUGGUACUACGCUCUUAUUACAUUGGAAUAAGAUGCUAUGGGACAUAUUUCUGAGUGAGAUGUGUUCACCCAUAUUUUUACAUUUGACUGUACUAUAAUAUCCAAAAUUAAUUAUAAUUCAAGAAGUAUUUAAGGUAUCCCUAGUAGUGACCCUGCCUAUGAAGCUGAUGGUCCCGGGUUUGAAUCCCGGUAAGGGCAUUUAUUUGUGUGAUGAAUAGAGAUAUUUGAGUUAUGGGUGUUGAUAAUAUGUGAUUCAGGAGACGUGAGCAGGAUCAAGCUUGAGCAUUCAGUAAGUUAUAAGCAACUGUUUCGUACCAGUAUUUGUGAGAUUAACGUUCUUUUAUUUUUUUACUGUUAAAAUAAAAUUGUUAUAAUUUAUUUACGCCAUGUAUGGUCACCCUAUUUGUUUUAUCCAUAACAAGUGACAAAUUGAAUGUCAUCGGAGUCUGGUUACUUUUGAAAAAUCGUAUCUCACUCAAGUGUGACAUUUUGUUUUCUUCAUAAUCAAACUGCUGUCAUAACGGUUAAAGAGGUUUUAUCUUUCUUUUAAGUGUUGUAGGGUGUCCAUGAUUGUAGAUUUUCAAAUUUGUCCUUCCCAAAAAGUUAAAUAACAGAAAUAAAGCGAGAUUGUUUUACUUAAAUAUGAUGAUGAACGGUUCAUUAACAUUUACUGAUUGUGUAUGCUUAGUCCUGCUCACGUCUCAUGAAUCACCCUGUAUACGUAUGUAUUUAUCUAUAUACGUAAUUAUAUCGUCACCUCACCUUCGGGCUUAAAAGUAACACUUGUACGUAAAUUAUUCUUGUUAGGGUUCCGUAGCCAAAUGGCAAAAAACGGAACCCUUAUAGAUUCGUCAUGUCCGUCGGUUUGUCCGUUUAUGUCACAGCCACUUUUUUCCGAAACUAUAAGAACUAUACUGUUCAAACUUGGUAAGUAUUCUAUGAAUAUGAGUGUAUUCUAUGAACCGCAUUAAGAUUUUACACAAAAAUAGAAAAAAAAAACAAGACAUUUUAAGACAAACCCAUACGUGUGGGUUAUCUAUGGAUAGGUCUUCAAAAAUGAUAUUGAGGUUUCUAAUAUCAUUUUUUUCUAAACUGAAUAGUUUGCGCGAGAGACACUUCCAAAGUGGUAAAAUGUGUGUCCCCCCCCCUGUAACUUCUAAAAUAACAGAAUGAUAAAACUAAAAAAAAUAUAUGAUAUACAUUACCAUGCAAAUUUCCACCAAAAAUUGGUUUGAACGAGAUCUAGUAAGUAGUUUUUUUUAAUACGUCAUAAAUGGUACGGAACCCUUCAUGGGCGAGUCCGACUCGCACUUGGCCGCUUUUUUAAUUUUUUACUUGUUUACCACCCUAAAUACACAAUGUACUAUUCCAAAUUGGUAAAAUGUGUCCCCCCCCCUCCCCUGUAACUUCUAAAAUAACAGAAUGAUAAAACUAAAAAAAAUAUAUGAUAUACAUUACCAUGCAAAUUUCCACCAAAAAUUGGUUUGAACGAGAUCUAGUAAGUAGUUUUUUUAAUACGUCAUAAAUGGUACGGAACCCUUCAUGGGCGAGUCCGACUCGCACUUGGCCGCUUUUUUAAUUUUUUACUUGUUUACCACCCUAAAUACACAAUGUACUAUUCCAAAUUGGUAAAAUGUGUCCCCCCCCCCCCUGUAACUUCUAAAAUAACAGAAUGAUAAAACUAAAAAAAAUAUAUGAUAUACAUUACCAUGCAAAUUUCCACCAAAAAUUGGUUUGAACGAGAUCUAGUAAGUAGUUUUUUUUAAUACGUCAUAAAUGGUACGGAACCCUUCAUGGGCGAGUCCGACUCGCACUUGGCCGCUUUUUUAAUUUUUUACUUGUUUACCACCCUAAAUACUAUAUUUAUUUAGUAAAAAGACUAAUCGUAGGGUAAACAAAGUAAAAAAAGGGUUUUGACGACCAGUUUGGCCUAGUGGGUAGUGACCCUGCCUACGAAGCCGAUGGUCCCGGGUUCAAAUCCUGGUAAGGGCAUUUAUUCGUGUGAUGAGCAUGGAUAUUUGUUCCUGAGUCAUGGGUGUUUUCUAUGUAUUUAAGUAUUUAUAAAUAUUUAUAUAUUAUAUAUAUCGUUGUCUAAGUACCCUCAACACAAGCCUUAUUGAGCUUACUGUGGGACUUAGUCAAUUUGUGUAAUAAUGUCCUAUAAUAUUUAUUUAUUUAUUAUUUAUUUAAAAACUAGUAUAUGAUUCUAUGAUCGGUAUGUACAGUAUAUGGCCAGUUUUUAUAGGAAAAACACUUUUAGCUAAUCAAAUAAUGAAUAAUAAUUAUUAUUUGGGGAUAAUCUCAUAGAAAUCUACCUAGCCCAAAACUAAGCAAAUCUCAUACUAUGGGUACAUUAUGUAUUAAGGGCGGUAAACAAGAAUUUACGAACAAGUGUUACUUUUAAGUCCGAAGAUGAAGGCGAGGGCUUAAAUUAACACGAAUUCGUAAUUCAUCUACAUGUCAUCUGGGGCAUUUCUGAUUUAACUGCCCUAGGAAUAUAAUAUACUAUUGCGUUUGUACCUGCAGAAUCUGCUCCAAAUAUGUCACAUGCAUCAAAACUCUUCAAUACAAAGUGUUCGUAAUUCAAGUACCGCCCGUGGCACACACAAUGUUUUUCAUCACACUUGUGAGGAAAAAAAAAUAAACUUCUGCCUAAUUUAGUACGUUCGUAUGUACGAAAUUUAGAAUUUACGGACCGCAUCGCCUACAUGUAAUAACAUAUUUUACGAGCAAUUGUGAUAAGAAAAAAUGUUAUUUUCUAUUUGGACAGACCUAAAGUUUUUGAAACCCAAAUAUUUUCACGAUUAAAAUUAGUGUUAGUUAUUAAGGAGUAUUACAGGUCCUGUAUAUAACGUGUAGUAUACGCGUAAGUAAGGCUAGACCGUUUUCGAUGUGGUUCCAAGGUUCUAUUGGAUUUGGAUAGGGCGAUAUGUUAAGAAAUAUUAAUAGGCACUGGGGAGACUUAAUCUCUAAAAUGAUAAUGUAAAAAAAGCAAAUUUAAUUGCCAAAAAUCUAUGUAGUUGGUCAACUUAUUAAAGUAGUCAUUCCAUCAAAAAUCAUUACAUUGUCUCUUUAUAACAGAUACAAGAGUUUAAAUGACAGAGACACGAUGAUCAACGGCUUUAUAGAGUUGACGGGCGUUAUGAAUAAUGCCAUAGUUGAUACUUGCCGUAACACUAAUUGGCCACUGAGAUCAUAAUGCUAUCUCCUUUACCCUUGGUAAGACCAACCAAGAAUGAAAGAGAUGGCACUAUGACCUGACCGGCCAGAUAGUUUUGCGGAUAGUAUAGUGCAGGCAUUCUAUGUAUUUUUAACAUUCAUAGUAUGGAGGGUAGAAGUAAGGAGAACAAUAUUAGUGUCGCCACAACACAUCGCGAACAUUUUUUGAUUCACUUCACACCGUCAAUAACGUCUAAGUUCAUGGCAUGUCCUUGUGCUACCCUAGCGCCGCGGGAGAGAUUUCGAGCUAUUAUUCACAGCUGCCAUUUCGACAUUUAAGCUAGGUCUCCAGUAUGAGAUCGUUCUCCUUGCCUCUAAGUCGUUAGAUUUGUAGCUGGCCCUCAACGGCUUAUCCAUUGUCUAUUGUUAACUGAAAGGUCACUUUAACCGGUUAUUUAAUUACAACUCCUAUGGUAAAUGUUAUAAGAUUCAAAAUGAACAAAUGGAAAAAUAAUUUGCGCGGGCGUGGUCCCUAUACGGUUACUAAGUGCCGGCGAGUCGAACGCUACCGAACCAGCCUAAAAUGUGACCUCGAUAUGCGGAACAAAGGCGCGUUAUCGGAGAGCGCACCUACACUGGUUUUUGAGCGUUGGACUAGCCCGCGCUCAGGUGCCAAUUAGAAUUAUACGACCCUUUUUUUUGCAGGUAGUGGCACGCGCCGUUUUAGUUAACAAUAGACAAUGGAUAAGCCGUUGAGGGCCAGCUACCAAUCUAACGACUAUACCCUCCAUAAUUCACAGUCCAAAUUCAAUAGAAUUAUUUGUCGUCAGAUUUACCUCUUGACAGAUUUUAAAUUUGACAGUAAAAUUUACGUCUGACAGAGGUCAUAUUUGACAGUAUUCGAAAUAAGAAUAAUCCAAAAUCUUUCCAAUAUUAUAAAAUUCGUAUUUAAUGUGUAGAUAUAAAUGAAGCGUAUAUUUUAAAAUUUUUUUUAUGUUAUAUUAUGGAAUUGAGUAGCAUGUGCCAUUGUGAUUAAAUUAUUUAUCAUUUAUUUUUAAUAUUUUGAUAUUUUGCGAAACCGAUACGGUAUUUAAACGUUUCUUCCUAAAAGUGUUUAUGCUGCAUUUUUUUUGCGUAAGUAUAUUUAUUUCCUAAUAAAAAUAUGUUUAAAAAAGGCACGUUUUAUAAAUGCUGACAUGAACCCGCCGGGCGAGUCCACUUUACAUAUUUUGAUUUUUUUUUCAUAGCGUCUGCCGCUACAACCUUUUUAUACUAAAUAGGUAUCCAUUUGAAUGACAUUUCUUUAUUAAGAUGUUGACAAAAUUCAAUACACUUUAAUAAACUUUAAUAAUAGUAUUUACGAUUAUUUUUCACCGCCAUGUAUUAUAUAGGCAUAUAUUGUAAAUAUAACACAUAAUAUUUAGUAAUAUGUGGCAUUAUUCUCUUGCGUGAGUGGUUGUAUCGACCAAACCAUAUCAUUUGAUAUGUAUGUUAUUACUAUCAAAACUUCAUCAUCAUAUCAUCAUCAUAUGAGCCUUUUAUCGCCCACUGCUGAGCACAGGCCUCUCUUCCAGUACGCCACUUGUCCCGAUCCUGAGUUAAUCGCAUCCAGAAGUGUCCCGCAAUUUUCCGAAUGUCGUCCACCCAACGAGCCAACGGACGCCAGGGGCUUCUUUCAUCCGAAAGCGGCCACCAUUCCGUUAACACUUUAGUCCACCUGCCAUCACUCUGCCUAGCAACAUGUCCCGCCCAACUCCAUUUUAGGUUGGUAAUGACGCAACCCACGUCUAGCACCUUGGUGCGACGACGGAUCUCGACAUUCCUUACUCGAUCUUGAAGCUUGAUACCGAGCAUGGCGCGCUCCAUGGCUCUCUGUACUACACGGAUUUUAUGCACAGCCUACUUGGUGAGCGUCCAUGUCUCGGCACCGUAGGUCAUGGUGGGCAGGACACAUUGAUUGAAGAGGCGAGUUUUCAGGCAUUGUGGAAUGUUAGCAGGUCUCAGGAUGUCCGCUAAUUUAUUAAAUGCCGCCCAACCCAGCUGGAUUCUCCUGGAGAUCUCCUUCUGCUGGUGUGUUUUGUCAAAUGAUAGAAUAUGUCCAAGAUACAAGUACUGCUCGACCACCUCUAGUAUUUCGUUCCCAACCUUAAUGAUUGGAAUCGAUUUACCGGGGACGUUCGUCAUAAUCUUAGUCUUACAAGGAAGGGUACCCAACUGUCCAACUCCGAUUUUAUUCAUUUUGAUAUAUGUUAUAGAGUAGUCUAAAAUAACGGACACGUAUUUUUUUUAGCUGCCCAAACUCAACCUAUUGGGAGAAAUUGUCCUCCAAAGUACUAAAAAGUUACUAAAUCUUCUAACUCCUAUAGAAAGUGAUGCUCAAGCAACUUGCUACUUAAUGGCUUGUUUGAGUAUAUGUUUGAGAGCAGGAAAAAAUAAUGUACACGUGUUUUGUUAUAUCUGCUUAAACUCAAGUUUUCCUAAAAAAACACCCGUCUUUAUGUGUAACUAUAGUGAUAAGAUAUUAUAAAACUUCGAAUGUCGAUUUUUUUAGGAAAAAAUGAGUUUUAGCCGAUAUAACAAAACACGUGCUCAUUAUUUUUUGCUGCUUUCAAACAUAUACUCAAACCAGCCAUUAACUAGCAAGUUGCUUGAGCAUCACUUUCUAUAGGAGUUAGAAGAUUUAGUAACUUUUUAGUACUUUGGAGGACAAUUUCUCCCAAUAGGUUGAGUUUGGGCAGCUAAAAAAAAAUACGUGUCCGUUAUUUUAGACUACUCUAUAACAUAUAUCAAAAUGAAUCAAAUCGGAGUCGGACAGUUGGGUACCCUUCCUUGUUAGUCUUAGACAUAUUCAUCUUGAGACCUACCUUCAAAGAAGCGUGGUAUAGGCUUUCAAUCAUGAUUUGAAGAUCUUCCAGGGUCUCGGCAAACAAAACAAUGUCGCGGGCAAAUCUCAGGUGCGACAAGAAGACCAUAGAUACAUAAUUUAUAAUCAGAGCCCGUAAAUUUCAUGCCGUUGACAGGAAAAUGACGUGACGCUAAAUAGAGUAUGAUUCCAAUUUGUAUUUUCGUAAUAAAUUAUCAUUUGUCAACCUCUUUAGGUAACUAAUACAUAUACUUGAAAAUCAGUAUAGAAACGUCUAACUGACUUUCAUUUUAUUGUCACACAAAUAAAUAAUAGAUUAUUAAUUUAUGAAAUAAUACAUAUUUUUGGUUUUUAACAGCGUAAGCUUUUAUUCACGUAACAAGUAUUUAUUAUGAUACCCAUCAAUAAGUAAGUUAUCUAAAUUUGUAUUAACUCCCUGUAUGUUAAAUUACGUCAUUUUUGCGUCAACAGCAUGAAAAGUACGGGCUCUGUGUAUAAUACAUAAAUUAUCGGGUCGAUUUAUAUUAUUUUGUUUUUUUUUUACCCCUUCAAACUUGACGAACUGUUUCUUAUAUGACGAAGUCCUGAUUUCACUUUUUCUCAUAAGUAAUAUUAAUCGAGGGCUGGUACAAAAGUUGUUAGCUGCUCCGGCUCUACUCAUGCGAUUACAAUAAUAUUUAUACCAUUGUGAGGGAUAUUUCAAUGCUAAUUAUGGCAAUGUUUUUGUUUUCUAUUUUUUUUAGAAACAAACAGUCAUACACAAUUUUUGAUCAAAACUUAUGGACAAAAAAUAGACCUAUAGUUUCAUAUGUAGAAAUAAAAUAUAAACAGGUCCGUGGCUAUUACAAAAAACAACAGGACUGAAAUCUGUAUUUUAUAACAACAAAUAUUGUAAAUAUUUUUUUGUGUUAAGCCAACGAAGCUUGCCGAGUUGCUUAAGUAAGGCACGAGAUUGAAAAGCUUGAUUAUAUCACUAUUGUAUACAAUAGUUUUUCUACGAGUCAUCUAAAACAAGACUUUUUUUUAAAUAUAUAUAACAAAUAAUUGAUGAAAAUUGGUAAGUAUAUCAGUAGACAUAAAUGUAGUACAAAAGACAUAAACGCGCGACUAUUUAGUCUCGCCCCGCGCCCGUUUAGUCUUUUCUAGGAGCGCGGCGGCAAGUGAUUGGUCAUUUUCUUUAUCGUCACUACAGCAUAUCGAAAUGAAUAUUGUAGUUGAGGUGGGAGCCCAUACAUGAAAAACACGCAAUUAUAGUUUGGUAUACGAAAUCUUAAUUCAAGAAUUUCAGCCAACGAGUAGAAAAUAUUUUUCAUUUCAUUUAUUUAUUUCAGCAUUCAUAAAUAAAUAAAUAUUAUAGGACAUUAUUACACAAAUUGACUAAGUCCCACAGUAAGCUCAAUAAGGCUUGUGUUGAGGGUACUUAGACAACGAUAUAUAUAAUAUAUAAAUAUUUUUAUAAAUACAUAGAAAACACCCAUGACUCAGGAACAAAUAUCCAUGCUCAUCACACAAAUAAAUGCCCUUACCAGGAUUUGAACCCGGGACCAUCAGCUUCGUAGGCAGGGUCACUACCCACUAGGCCAAACCGGUCGUCAUAUUCAUAAGCAUCAUAGAUCACAGUAGUGUACCAAAGCGCUUACAUACUAGUCAUUAAAAAACAAUUUAACACACAAAAUUAAUUCAAUAGUAAUUCCAUAAUAAUUUCUUAUAAAAAAUAAUAAUAAUAAUUCAGCCUAUAUACGUCCCACUGCUGGGCACAGGCCUCCUCUCAUGUGCAAGAGGGCUCGGGCUAUAGUCCCCACGCUAGCCCAAUGCGGAUUGGGGACUUCACAUACACCUUUGAAUUUCUUCGCAGAUGUGUGCAGGUUUCCUCACGAUGUUUUCCUUCACCGAAAAGCUAAUAAAAUAAUUUCUUAUAAUAAAUAAAAAUAUAGCAGUAAUUAAUAUAAUUAGCAAUGAAAAUUAAAAAUAAAUUACGGAUUACAUAAUUUUUUGUAAGUGUCCUAUGUGAACUCAGAGAACAGCCAAACAAAUCUAUUUCAGUCGAGAUUUUCUUUAAAAUAUUGAUUGUGGUGACCGUUGGUGUUCUAUACUCUGUAUCUUUAGGUAUUUAAAUAUAAGUAAACAAACAAUUUGUAAAUUUUCGGGUAGUUAUAACAUUUAUUGGUUAACCAACCAAAUACAAAACCGCCUGGAUCUGUCACUGAACGACCUGACUUUAACCUACAUUAUUUGAUCAUGUAAUGUUUACAUCUACCCUCAAAUGGCUCUUUAAGCCAGUUGAGGGUGGAUUUUGUUUACUUUUAUUUAAAUACCUAAAGAUACAGAGUAUAGCGAGUAAGUAAGUGCGCGCAGGGUGGCGCGGCACUACCGGCCCCAAGGCACCCAGCACUUUCUGAUUCAAUUCAAUUGGCUACUUGACUGUUUUUUGUAAAUAAUGUCAAACGAUCUUGAUUUUCCUGAGGAUCAAAUGUCUAUAUGGGACUCAUGGCAUUUAAGCAACACAAAGGCCAGAAAUGAGAGUUAAAGUCUGACGCUCGCACUAGACGAUUGAAUAUAAGUAUGUCCUAAAUGUAUGGAAGAUCAAGAAAAUUGCCAUUUUGACCCUGAAAUAUUGCGUUUAUGUGUGUAGUUGUCAUACAAUUUAUUUUUCAAUAAAAUGUAUGGAAUCGAAUGGUACCAUUUUUUUUUUCUAUUUUUGAAGGGCAAAAAAAAUUUUUUUUUGACCUUACAGCCUUGUAUUUUUUUUAUAAUAUCAGUAUAUUUUUUUAAAAUUCACUUUUUUAUAAUAGAUGGCUCAUUUUCUAUCCAUUUAACUAAAUUUUGUUAUAAUAUUCAACAUGUGUCAAGUAUCCAAUUCUUUAUUUCAUUGACAAUACAGUAUUGUGUUUGAGUAUUUUUACAUGCUAACUUACAUUAAUUAGGUCAUACAGUACAAUACAUUACGAACAUACACGAAAACAAAAAAUAAUACAACGAUUGUGCAAGACCUUAGUAUAAUAUUUCAAUCGCAUCAGUAGAGCCGGAGCUAACAAGUUUCGGAGCAGCUCUCGUAUUAUGAGAAAGAAAUAUUGGCAAUAAUAUUUUUUUUUGAUAAAGACAAGAUGAAUAAAGAAAUAUAAUAAUUAAUAAACUAACUAAACGAAUUGUUUGGCCGUUCGCCAGUUACAGGUUUUUUAUAGUUUUCCCGGCUUUUUGUCACAGCUAAUGGGAGUAACUUUUAUCAUGGCAGUCCCAGCGAGGUUUUUCCAGUUCGUUGGGUAGCCCUGAUAUCGCGAAUAAUGGCUUUUUAGGGUUCCGUAGUAAACUAGGACCCUCAUAGUUUCCCCAUGGCCGUCUGGUUUGCUCCGUGAUCGUUAGUGCUACAUAGCAGCAAUUAGAGCAUGGAUACAAAUAUAAAGACGACCGGUCUGGCCUAGUGGGUAGUGACCCCGCCUAUGAAGCCGAUGGUCCCGGGUUCAAAUCCUGGUAAGGGCAUUUUUUCGUGUGAUGAGCAUGGAUAUUUGUUCCUGAGUCAUGGGUGUUUUCUAUGUAUUGAAGUAUUUAUAAAUAUUUAUAUAUUAUAUAUAUCGUUGCCUAAGUACCCCCAAUACAAGUCUUAUUGAGCUUACUGUGGGACUUAGUCAAUUUGUGUAAUAAUGUCCUAUAAUAUUUAUUUAUUUAUUAUAAAUCGCGCAUGGCAACAGAACGGUAAAUGUGAAUCUGUCACUAUGAAAAAAAAAGAAAUAAAUGAUUUGGAAUGUACAAUUUGAGGUCUUUCAAAUGAGACCUCACUAGAAUUUGUAAUUUUGCCCCCUCUUCAUAUUGGGCAUUAUCAAUAGUUAAUAAAAAAACUUUCAAUGUGUCUGGGUUAGAGUUCUUCACAACUAUUCCAAAUUUCAAAUCGAUAGCUUAAGUGUAGUAAAAUAUAUGUUCAUAUUAAUAAAAUUAAAACUAAAAUUAAACCUAGAAAUAAAAUAAAAUCAUCUACUAUAAAAUAUACUUACCUACAAAAAAAAGGAACCAAUUAUAAAGAGAAUACCCCUUCUAACAGGUCUGUUUGCGGCAUGGACCCCAUGAUACUGGCGGCAUUACCUCUCUGUAUGGCAAGGGAAAUACGUUGAGAGAGGUACGCGCCAGCCCUGGGGUCCCCUGUGGUGUCGACCAGCCGCGCCGACAGUGCUGCCAUGAAUAUUUUCAUAGCUUAAGUGGUUCUCGAGCUUAGCGUUGUGACAGAGAGACAGACAUGGACGGACGGACGCCACAUGGGUUCCUUUUGUACGUUUUUGGUACUGAACCCUCUGAUUUGAUCUAUGAAAAGGGACCUUAUUGCCGAUGGCGCUUACGCCGCACUGCGUCGCGCAGCGUUGUAUUUGUUUUGGAGCAUCGUUUAUAACUGCGCAAGCGCCAUCGACAAUAAGGUCCCCUUUUCAUAGAUAACGUCACAUAUUUGCUAUUGCGGGAUUAGUCCUAUAGUGAAGGUUGCUCAGUAUGACCUAUAUAUUCAACGCAUAUUAAGGCUAAAACACCUUGUUGUACAGUCAGCAUCAAUAGUAGCGGAUGAAACAACGCGCCAAAAGUAUCUGAUAUUCCGGAUAACUUUUCCAAAUAUAGAUAAAUCUCUAAAAUUUACAUUCAAAAGUAUAUCUUUUACCGUCUUUAAUUAUUCUACAUAUAGAACCACCACAUUUUGUUAAGCUGUUACAGAAUGGUAGAUACUUUUGAAACCUUGUUUGAUCCGCUACUUUUGAUGCUGACUGUACACAUAUAUCGAGACCUGUACCCCUAGUGUAAAUAAAUUCGAUUUCCAAACGUGACGUACGCGUUUGCGUUUAGUCUCAUUUUGUAUUGGAUUUCGAAAGACCGCGCCAAGCGGGACGUUUUGGAACCUCAAAAUCCUAUACAAAAUGAGACUUAACGCAAACGCGUUCGUCACGUUAUGAUGUCGAUCAAAGUUACACUAGGGGUACUGAAUGAUUAUGAACAGGGCCCGUACAUUUCAUGCCGUUGACGGAAAAUGACGUCACGCUACAUAGAGUAUGAUUCCAAUUAGUAUUAUCGUAAUAAUUCAUCAUUUGUCAACCUCUUUAAUUCACUGAUACUUUGCAAUCAGUACAGUACAGAAACGUCUUACUUUCAUCUUAUUUUCACUCAAACUAAAUAGUAGAUUAUUAUCUCAUUAAGUAAUACAUAUUUUUGAUUUUUAACAGUGUAUUUUACGUAACUAGUAUUUAUUUUAUUCGAUUCAAUUUAUAUACGUUUAAACCUUCUCCAAAAACUAGGGGCACUCUGUAUAUUUGUGAUCAACAUAAUUGUAUAAAUAUCCAUACACCAGGCGCAUCGGGAUCUAUUCAUUCCCUUUUAAAUAUGUAGAUCGUCGUUAACAAAUAAAAUAAUUCAAGGCAAUCACACAGAAAGGAAAAUGACGUAUUAUGUACUGCCUUAUUUUUUUCCAAUACUUGGAGGCAUUCCGCCAAGUUAAAUUCGUUUUUAACAAUAAACUAUUAAGAAACAAACGUCCAAUUAUUUUAAGGUUUUUUCAAGGGACUUACAGUAUGGAAUUUCAAAAACGCUUGCAACUCAAACGCGUACAGGCAAACGCGUUUGAGUUGCAAGAGUCCAUAGGGUAUGGUGACCGCUUGUUUGCCACCGAAAUAGUACAAAAAAAACUAUUUUUAUUUCUCAUCCUCUGAAAGUGGGUCGUUGUUGUUCUAAGAAGUGUGCAAAAAAUUACAAGUUUUGCAAUUAAAAUUUUGGUUUAAAUGGAUUUGGUGUACAAUUUUAUAUCGUUGUCUAAGUACCCUCAAUACAAGCCUUAUUGAGCUUACUGUGGGACUUAGUAGUAUAAUGUCCUAUAAUAUUUAUUUAUUUAUUUUAUUUAUUUAUUUAUUUCCAUUCUGAUAAUUAACUCCCCAUUCCAUAAAUAACGAUAUUUUUACCUAUAUUGUUAAUUGAAAGUACCCUCAAUGAAUACUACUGAAGUUUAUACUUAACCGUGUUGUUUUUAAUGUAUUUUACUUUCCUCGUAUUCGAAAUUCGAAGUGAAAAGUAGAGUGUAUAAUUCGGGUGAAAAGCACCAUUUCAUCCCUAAAAAUCUACUAUUGAGAUCGUCAUACUAUAAUUUUUCCGUUUAAAAAUAUAAAUCGCAUGUCUUUUGUAAGUACGUCUUAAACAUGAUAAAGCUAAGAUAACCCAAGUAUACGUAGAAAAUUGUAAAUGUAUGAUAAUCAAAAUAAAAUCGAUGUGUAUAUGUGUAUGUUUUUGAUAGUGAACCAUAUCGUCAUCAAUUUUCGCGCUAUUAUUUUGCGUGAUUAAAAGAGCUUUUUUAAAGAAAAUCUUAGAAAUGAACGACUGAUGUUGUCCACAGGGCCCGUACAUUUCAUGCCGUUGACGGAAAAAUGACGUCACGGUACAUAGAGUAUGAUUCCAAUUAGAAUUUUCGUAAUAAUUAAUAAUUUGUCAACCUCUUUAGUUAACUGACACAUAUUCUUAAAAAUCAGUACAGAAACGUCUAACUGACUUUCAUCUUUUUGUCACUGAACUAAAUAAUAGAUUAUUAAGUUAUUACAUAAUACAUAUUUUUGAUUUUUAACAGUGUAUUUUACGUAUCAAAUAUUUAUUUUUCUGCGCGUCAAUAAAUCAGUUAUCUAAAUUUGUAGUGUUAUUAAAAAAACUCCCAGUAUGUUAAAUUACGUCAUUUUUGCGUCAACGGCAUUAAAUGUACGGGCUCUGGUUGUCCAUUUCUAUAAGUGCCGCAAAUAUACCAGAACAGCCUAAAAAAAUAAAAGAAAACUCCCUUCCUACUAAUCCGUAUUUGUAUUUUGCCGUCGAUUUUUUUUCGUGAGCUAUCGAUAUAAUUUGGUUGAUAGAGUUCCCCUGUACAAUAUGAGCGAAAUAUAUAUUUUAUUUUUUGUGACGAGUUGGGAUUUCAUAUUUAUUCCGCAGCCAAAUUUUAUCAAAACCAAACGACAAUAAAUUCGACGCCAAAACUAAAAAUCGGCCCAGAUACUAAAAUUACAGUCCACCGUAUGCGUAGAAGUUCACGCGCGCGUGCGCUAAAAACGUUAAAGAAUAUAAUAUGUAAGAUAUUAAGGAUAUCGUGAACGAUCUUUUAGUUUUAUUUUGUAGAGUGUUUGACAAGUGACAGAUAGUUUUGCCGCGGUUUUCGUAAAAUGUGACAUUGACAGUUAGAUUAGGACAGCGAGGGAAAACUCAAGCGAUUAAAUAAAGGAUUUUGAAUUGUUUUAAUUGUUGUAAACUCAAGAUAAAUAAACUAUUGUAAACUAAUUCAGUAUUUCGGUGCGAGAGCUAAUAAAUAAGAAUGAUUUAUUGCAGUACUGUGUACAUUUGUACAGUGCCGGCCAAAUAUACAAUAUAUAUUACUUUCAGGUUUUUACGGCAAACCUUGUUCUAUAGCCAACUAGGAACCCUAAAAAGGUUUGUAUCAAUCAUGUACUUGGCGCAAAACCUUUAUAUUUCGGUUUCGCUCGAAAAACCGUUAUUUUUAAACCGGUAUUUAUGAGAUCAGUUCUAGUCAAAUUAACCGGUUUAGAACAAUAAAAACCGGUUUCUUCCUAUGUCGGUGUCUAUGUUUACGUGGCACACAACCAGGCCAACGUGAAGUCAAAAGAUUCAGAGUCGCGCGUUCUAUUCUCGCCCGAUACAGUGAAUUUUUCCACUUUUCAUUUAUUUAUAAGCUUUGUGAUAACGUCUGCAAGUACAUGACAUGUAUGAACUCGCGAAAAACAAUCAAUGUGUAAUAGGGUUUCUAGGGUUUCUGGUUUCUCAACCUUUUCUAUUUCUCGAGGCACGGGAAUUCUCGACCAGGAUUUCUCGAGUUCCUCGAGAAAUUUUGAUAGUUUAAAAACAUCAUGCUUUUUUUUUGUUUAUUACAAAUCAGAUUCAUAGGAUAUUUUUUUUUCAUACUGCACCCACCUUAGCAAAUUUCUGUUUGGCCCAGUGGUUGACUGGUAGAGAAUGCCUCAAGGCAUUAAGUUCGCCUAUUGUACGUUAUACUUGUACUUGUGCAAUAAAGUUUAAAUAAUAAUAAUAAUAAUAGGAGUCAUAGGUGAGAUCAAUAAUCAAACAAAUGGUACAUACGUAUUUAGUUUAGUAGUGCAGGUUUGUGCAUGCUUCGGUAACCUCGGAACCAGUGGCUUCAAUCAUACAUUUAGAUAAAAUUAUCCGAAGGCAUUCACCAAUACCGAUUGGUCUCACGCCAGGGCAUUUGUCCAGGGCUACAAGACGACUUGACAUAAGUGCUUAUAUGUGCCUCCAAGGAACGUAUUCAUUGUUUAGUUUCAUGGUUAGAUGAGCGAUGGCAAUCCUUAGGUGUAAGCUUGCUUCUCCAAAGCGUAAUAGGUAAUCUUUCCAGUUUUCAGAUGUUGUGCCUGUUGGCCCUCCUCCACCGUGUAAUUUCCUGAUGACUGAUUCGACAUGGUCACAGGUUAUGUCAACAUCGAGUAGUGGAGGCAUUUCAGAAAAGUUUUUCGGGUAGUGUAAAUAAGGAUGGGUCUGGGGUAGUUGCGGUGGGGUGUUUUUCUUCUAAGACGUCUUUGACCGUUUUUCCAGAAGUAUCGACUUCGUCAUCAGUGUUAAGAAUUUUGUUCGUGUUUUUUGUUAGGAGCCAGUUGAGAGCUUCUCGAGUUUUGCCUUUCAAUAUUAAACGUGUGAAUAUUUUGGUUACGUCAUCAAUAUUGCCACUUUUACGAUGAAAAACAUUGCAAAGGGAGAUGUCUGCUUUGAUAGAUUCAGUUAUGAGGAUUUCGUAUUUUUCUUCAGCCCAUAAUUUGAGGCGGCGAUCAAGUAACCUGGUUAUGUCUUUUGCUUUUUUUAUAUUGUUGUCUCUUUGUAACAUUACGGCAAUAAAUAUUAAAACACGUUCUGAGGGAUAAUCUAAUUUAACAAGAAGUUCAAUUUCAUCAGCUAAUGUAUGUAUAAAUUUUCUGCUAACGGAGUUAGAAGGAAGAUCAAAAAGUUUACCGUGAAGACAACAUAUUUUGUCCCAACGUUUUUGCCAGGCACCUGUCUUUGAUCCAAUAUUGUUAAGGUAGGGAGAUCCAAAAGCGUCUUCUAGGAGUGAUGUGUGCACAAUUGAGUCAGAAAUUCGUUGUGUGCUUGAAUGGUCAUCAUGGGCAGCACGUAUAUGAAGUUGGAAACCAUUGCGUUUGAAAGAUCUCGGGCAAUGUGGGCACUGCACAGUACUUGGAAGAUUUUCAUGUUGACUUGUCAAGCCGAUAUUUUCGGAACUAAUGGAAACCAUUAUAAUUUUAAUUUUUCAUGAUGAUUUAAUGAAAUUUAUGGGUUAACGAAUACACUGAUAAUUUUGAUGUUAAGAACAAAAUAUAUAUAAUAUUUGAAUAAAUGUGAUUUGGUAAAUAAGAUUUGAAAUGUUUACUCGUAGCUAGGCAACCAAAUGUUUCUUGGUUGGUUAAUUAAUAACUGUUUCAAGUAUCUAAAAAUGUAAACAAAAAAAUACAUUUAUUUAACUGCCUAAUGAAAUACACUAUAGACACAUAUGUGUGUUAUACGCGUGUUUUCUUUUUACUUAUCUCAAGAGAUUUAUUUCUCGAGUUCUCGAGGCAUUGAACUUUUUUUCCCGCCUCGACGGAGGACAAAUUUCUCGAGAUUUCUAGCCUCGAGAAUUCUCGAGCAGAAACCCUAGUAAUAGCCCCCGAUGAGAAGCCACCCACACUUACCUAUAUGGGCUGUAAUAGACUGUAAUUUUAGUUCUGAGUGUUAUAGAUAGGAAUCAAUCCUAUUUAACCUAAUAUAUUAGUCCUAAUAGUGAUUAUAUGGCAUCGAAAAUUUUAUCGCACGGUAAGACAUUAGCGAGCUAUGGAGUCGAUAUUAUCAAUAAAAUUCAUACUCUUUCAUCUAAUUAAUAAGUGAUUUUAUUUUUAUAAUCAAGGACAAUAACGUUUACGAGUUUAUAAACGAUUCUUUAAUUUUGUCUUUGAAUAUAUAUAUAUAUAUUACAAAUAAAAAUAAUGACCAUUUUUACAAGCUUUUAUUUACUUUCACCUGACCGUUGUCUGUUUCUAAUCAAAUCUUGCAAGUUAAAUUUGACCCACUUCCCGGUUUCCGAUGAAGCUGAAAAUUUGCAUACAUAUGUAAGUCAGGUGACAAUGCAAUAUUAUGGUACCAUCGAGAUGAUCUGAUGAUGGAGACAGGAGGUGGCCAUAGGAACUCUGUGAUAAAACAACGUAACCUAAUUGUGUUUGGGGUUUUUAGAAUUGUCUUGAUGAGUAUUAGUUGCCUGUGGAAAGAAAAGUACAGUCAGCGAUAAAAGCUUGUACCAAAAAUAAAAUUUUUGCCAAAAACUUAUUUAGUAAUGAUUACGAGUAAGUUGCGAAUUUUUUUUAAACAAUAUGUAUAUUAAGUGCUGGUGGCCUGGCGGUAAGAGCGUGUGACUUUCAAUCCGGAGGUCGCGGGUUCAAACCCCGGCUCGUACCAAUGAGUUUUUCGGAACUUAUGUACGAAAUAUCGUUUGAUAUUUACCAGUCGCUUUUCGGUGAAGGAAAACAUCGUGAGGAAACCGGACUAAUCCCAAUAAGGCCUAGUUUACCUUCUGGGUUAGUAGGUCAGAUGGCAGUCGCUUUCGUAAAACUAGUGUCUACGCCAAUUCUGGGGAUUAGUUGUCAAGCGAACCCCAGGCUCCCAUGAGCCGUGGCAAAAUGCAGGGAUAACGCGAAGAAGAUGUAUAUUAAGGCUCCUCCCGCAAAAUACCGUAAAACAGAGUUACUCUGAACCAUUUUUUUUAUACUAAAUAUGACACUUUCUAAACAGAAAAAAUAUAUAACAAUAUAAAAGAUAUGAGAAAUGAUAUGGUUUUUCUGGAAAUAUAUUUUAAUUUAUAUAAGUGACGAAAAAAAAAUCUUGAAGUCACCCCUAUUUCUUUCAAUUGUAUCCGUAUUAUACCACUGCAACAAUCUUGGUCACAAAACACUGUAAAAUGAUUUGGUUUUCUUUCUUUUUGCGAAUUCAUAAAACUGUGCCUCAAUUCCCAAAAAAAAUAAACCUUAAUCCCGCCUAGGUUCCUACCAAUACCCAGCUCUCGUCCGUAUAGUCAGUGCGGGGCAAGGUGUGUUGCUAGACGGACCUGUGCUGCGUUCCGCGCGCGAGCGAAAAUUUAUUUUAAACGCAUAGUUCUGCGCGCUCGAUCCUUUGCAGCGGAUAUAAGUUCUGCCCAAACGCGUGAGGUCGUUGGCGUCGGGUGCAGCCUUAAAAGAGGUAAAAAUAAUAUAAAUAUAAAUUAAUCAAUACCAAAAAAUGGUCAUUAUUUUUACUUGUAAUAUUUAUGUCCUUAAAGACAAACUCGUCAACAUUCUUGCCCUUGAUUAUAAAAUUAAAAUUUCUAAGCAAUUCAAUAAAUUAAUGAGCAUGAAUAUGAUUUGAAUUUUCUCUGAUUGAAACUAUCUCGAUUCAUACACAUCAUUAACUCAUAGAAACGGGACUUAAUCUCCGAGACAUAAAGCCGGCCGCGAAACGUCGGAGGUAACUUUGAAACUUAAUACGCGAUUAAGUCCCGUUUCUAUGAGUUAAUAAUGAAUUGAAUUUUAUUGUUGUGCGAUAAAAACUCCGAUGCCUACGACAAAGAUAAUUUUUAAUAGAGGUGGAUUGUCAAAGAAAACUUUGUAGCCACAGUAAAUUGUGAGUCAGAAUGGCGGGUGUACCUAAAUAAAAUUAAAUGAAAACCAUACCAUAUUUUUGUACCCAAUUUGUACUAUUUAGUACCUCCUUUUAAAAAAUUUGUACCUCACGGUACUUAAAGUUAUCACCAAAAAACAGUACACCCGCCAUCCUGACAGUCAGAAUGGCGGGUGUACUUUAUUACGCUAUGUUCCCGUGGUUAUUGAGAAAUUAUAUAAAAGUCAAUUUUUUGUACCUUCAUAUUCAAUUAUUAUAAGAGCCAUUUGAGUAAAACUAGCAAACCACAAAUAAAAUGGCUCAUAUAAUAAUUGAAUAUGAAGGUACACUUCACACGUAUCAGGAUCAAAGUCAAAUGGCGUUCUAAAAGUUUUAAUCAUGUGUCGGAAGAUGGCAGUAAAUUUACUCUUUCUUCCUAGCGUUGUCCCGGCAUAUUGCCACGGCUCAAGGGAGCCUGGGGUCCGCUUUGACAACUAAUCCCAAGAUUUGGCGUAGGCACUAGUUUUUACGAAAGCGACUGCCAUCUGACCUUCCAACCCAGAGGGUACUAGGCCUUGUUGGGAUUAGUCAGGUUUCCUCACGAUGUUUUCCUUCACCGAAAAGCGACUGGUAAAUAUCAAAUAACAUUUCGUACAUACGUUCCGAAAAACUCAUUGGUACGAGCCGGGGUUUGAACCCGCGACCUCCGGAUUGCAAGUCGCACGCUCUUACCGCUAGGCCACCAGCGCUUACAUGCAGUAAAUUAUGGCAGUAAAUUUACUGUGGUUACAAAAUUUUCUUUGUCAAUUCACCUUAUCUAUUUCAAAUUCUCUGUGCUACUAAUUAGUCUGCAUCAGAUAGAUAGUGACAGCCAAUGCUGCCAAGUACAUUUAUUCUUAUGAUAGCAAAAGUGUCCCUAGACACGAACAACCAGACUAGAAAAGUGACCUAGACCCUACUCAUAGUGUUGUGUUCCUGCUGGUGAGUAAGGUUGCCAGAGCUCAACGAGGGUGGGAAGGGGUUAGGGUCGGCAACGCGCAUGUAACUCCUCUGGAGUUGCAGGCGUACAUAGGCUACGGAUACUGCUUACCAUCAGGCAGGCCGUAUGCUUGUUUGCCACCGACGUAGUAUAAAAAAAAAAGUUUGGUCGUCCCUAUACUUAUAGUUGAUGCAGAUUGCACUGUAGUCCUAACAUAUUAAAGUCACAUUACGUUGUCAUAAAUUCAGUCAUAAUUGUAACAUUAUUUUGCCAUAUAAUUUUUAAUAUAGGUACUAACGUGAUAUAUUUUAACCCUUAAACGCGAUUUUUUUCUUUUUGUCUGAAAUUAAUAUAUGUGUUACAUAAUUGUUUAUUGAUUCUGGGAAAAAUAAUAAAACAUCGAUUUUACUGCUAAAUCAGUGUGAGAAUUUACAUAGGCUAAAUCAUAUUUAUGUAAAUAUAUAAUUUUCAGUAAGGGAUAUAUGAAAAAUAUAAUGAUUUUAAAUAUAAAAUAAUUGCAAACCCCGAAAAAAACCGCCUAAAUCACAUACUAAAAAUCACCAACUUUUUGAGAUUUUCAAAAUUUUCCGCCAUUUCGUCUUAAAACGAAUGUAAUUUUUUAAAAACUAAAAUACUGCUCAAAUUUGAAUAAAAGAUCUGAACGUGUAUUAAUUUACGAUCAAAAUACUUAUAAAUAACUAAAAAUUAUGAUUAGAUUUUUAAAAUCUGUGAGCUGUCCAAUGCUUUGUAGACAUUUGGCAACACUAUGCAUUUAAGAGUUAAGACAAAAUAUGGAAUGAAUUCAAUGGUACUUUGCUUUUCUGACCUCAUAAAUGGUUUUAUUAUACCUAAUUCAUUUUCUACCUUAAUGUAAUAGUCAUAAAAUUUAAAAUUCGAAUCCCGUUAAGGGCAUUUAUUGUGUGAUGAGCACAGAUAUUUGUUGUGUUUUCUAUUUAUUUAAGUAUUUGUAUAUUAUAUAUAUCGUUGUCUCAGCACUCACAAUACAAGCCUUCUAGAGUUUACCGUGGCACUUUCACUAUAUGUGAAACAGUGAUGGACGACAAUCAUGUAAUUAAAAUAGGUUAAGUACAAACUCAAUAUAUGUACCUAGCAUGACAGAUCCGUACGUGACAUUUUUUGAUGACACUCCUAUGAUGUAUCAAGUAGGUAUUUGUCAAGCAUUAUGUCUGUCGAUAUUUUUGAGCAAUUUUGGCCUUGCAAUGUACUAUCGCCGACUGUUUUUAGCAAACAUUACUGGAAUAUAUUCCAGGUCCAAUGGUCAGUCAAAAGUGUUGACGUUGGUACUAUUUCUAUUCUAUAGUCGGCAUCAUAUAUAUCGGAGCGGCCAAGGUGCUCACAAAUAUCUGAACCCGCCUCUAUUGGCAAGGCGUUAGAGUGCGUGUUCAGAUAUUUUUGAGCACCCGGCCGCUCCGAUAUAUCUGAUGGCGACUGUACAAAUUGCUGUAUAUGGACCUACUUAUUUUAAGGAAAUGCAUUUAUUUAAUAUUUAAUUUAGUUUUAGGUUGAGGUUUCUGGCCACGGUAAAGAUUUGGACCAUAAAAGUGCUCUGAUGAUAGUGUCCGAAGGUGAUUAAAGGAAGUUUUUAUUAAAACAAUGCAACCUUGAUGAGUUUGGCUCAAUGGAAUGGGCAUGGUAGUCAGUUGAUGACUGUUUUACCCUUUGAUGACCAAAGGCGUCAAAUGACGCGCACAUUGUUAUAUCAAUCUUUGUGAAUUCCUACAAGAUUUACGAUUACGCCUUAUGUUUAGUAGGCGCAAAGAGAAUUUGAAAUAGAGGUGGAUUCUCAAAGUAAACUUUGUAGCCACAGUAAAUUUACGACACAUGAUUAAAACUUUUAGAACGCCAUUUGACUUUGGUCCUUAUUAUUUCACUGAUAUGUGUUAAAUUUGUUAAAUAUCACAAAGUGGCGUCAUCUAGUCGAACAUAGGCCAAAUGUAUGGCACCAUCGCUCGAAAAUAUGCCGCCAUACCUUUGGCCUAUGCUCUUUGUUUUUUGGACAAAAUUAUUUUCGAUAGGUAGCGUGCAUGAACUGUAGGAGGCAGCACAGGAGCCGUCGGAUUUUUGGCGCGAGGCGUAAAUGUGUUGUUUUUUGUUCCGAUGUAGCCCAAAAGAUGGCAGAACCUACUAUGCACAAGAAAACACGUGACGUGUACAAGUGCAUGUUUAUGGUUCCGAUUCAGGCCACAAGAUGGCAGACCCUCCAACGCGCACGGUCCCUAUAGUUCCAAUGGAAUGAAAACAGGAACCUCAGCCAAUAUUACUUGUAAAUAUGUUAACUAUUAAUAAACGAAUACUCAUUUAUACUUGGUCACGUUUGGUUGUUAAAAUAUUAUUAGCCGGGUCCACACAGAGCGAGCAUACGCGCGAGGCGAUUUCCUCGUGAGUCAGAAUGGCGGGUGUACCUAAAUAAAAUUAAAUGACAUGAUUUUCUGAGUUAUUUGAACUUAACAGAUUAAACAUUAAAGGUACUAAUUCCUGGCGUAAUAAAAAUAAUUGUAACUUAGCGUUUUUUCUUAAAAAAGAGAUCGAUAACUUGAAAAAUGAUAACGCCUGCGAAAUAGUAAUAGCAAGCAAAAUAUAAAAUGAGUAAAACUUGGAAACCACAAAUAAAAUGGCUUAUAUAUUAUAAAUAUUAUAAUUGAAUAUGAAGGUACAAAAAAGGUACAAAAAUUUGGCUUUUAUAGAAUUUAUCAAUAACCACGGGAACAUAGCGUAAUAAAGUACACCCGCCAUUCUGACUGUCAGGAUGGCGGGUGUACUGUUGUUUGAUGAUAACUUUGUGUACCGUGAGGUACAAUUUUUUUUAACGAAGGUACUAAAUAGUACAAAUUAGGUACAAAAAUAUGGUGUGUUUUUCAUUUAUUUUUAUUUAGGUACACCCGCCAUUCUGACACUCACAUUUCCUCACGCACAAACCGGCCAGUGUAAACGUGCCUCGGCUGAAGCGGCGCAUGCGUUUUCCUCGCCCGAGCGCGCCGCCUCGGCCGAGGCACGUCCACGUGCGUGAGGAUAUUGCCUCGCGCGUAUGCUCGCUCUGUGUGGACCCGGCUAUUCUCGGUUGUAUUUGAGUUAGGUAUCUAAUUAUGUAACCUAUUUAGCUAAUAUAGAACACCUAAAAUAAUAACCAACUUAACAAGUAACUGUCAUUUUAAAAUGUUUUACAUUUUUACCAUUGACAUAAAUCGAGGUUUGAACUAUUUUGCCAAACUAAGGGGAAAGUCCGUCUAAGCUAACCUCGCAUUAGGUAAACGACGGGGUAUGGAAAAUUUCUGAUAAAAUAUGACGCUUAUAGUGGCUAUGCCACACUUUGCUGGUGCAGGGUUAGCUUAGAUCUCGUUUAUAGUAAAGCCAUAUUGCUUAAUGUAGUAAUAGUUUUAAUAAUAUUCUUUGUCUACUGCCGUAGAGUAUCAAAGAAACUGCAAGGCGGUUUUGAGACUACUUUUUCUAUAUAUUUUUUUUUUGUAAAAAUAACAACUGGCAUCUAAUUUAGCAUUCGUAUUUAUAUUUCUUGUAUAUUAUUGAAUAUUUGAAUAGUUAUUUUUAUGGAUCAGUACAUGUAUAAUGUUUAUAAUGUGUAAUUUUUAAUAAAUAGCAUUUUGUAAUGUAA